rnacentral:rRNA from 1 species
AUUGAACGCUGGCGGCAGGCCUAACACAUGCAAGUCGAGCGAGCUGCGGACGGGUGAGUAAUGUAUGGGGACUGCCCGAUAGAGGGGGAUCACUACUGGAAACGGUAGCUAAUACCGCAUACUAUCGGAUAACCCAUAUGGGAUUAGCUAGUAGGUGAGGUAAUGGCUCACUUAGUCGACGAUCCCUAGCUGGUAUGAGAGGAUACUCAGCCAUGCUUGGACUGAGACACGGCCCAGACUCCGACGGAGGCAUAAGUGUGGAAUAUUGAACAAUGGGCGCAAGCCUGAUGCAGCCAUGCCGCGUGUAUGAAGAGGGCCCUAGGGUUGUAAAGUACUUUCAGUCGGGGGGCAUUACCGAAAGAAGAAGCACCGGCUACCUCCGUGCCAGCAGCCGCGGUAAUUC